rnacentral:tRNA from 1 species
UUCUAACUUUUUAUAAAGCAUUAACAUGUUUAUGAUUCUA